rnacentral:tRNA from 1 species
GGCUCGUUGGUCUAGGGGUAUGAUUCUCGCUUUGGGUGCGAGAGGUCCCGGAUUCAUUCCCGGACGAGCCC